rnacentral:hammerhead_ribozyme from 1 species
AUCCAGCUGACGAGUGGCAAACAAAAUGAAACGCACGUCUUUGAU